rnacentral:rRNA from 1 species
GAUGAACGCUGGCGGUAUGCUUAACACAUGCAAGUCGAACGGACUCUUCGGAGUUAGUGGCGGGCGGGUGAGUAACGCGUGAGAAUCUGGCUUUGGGUUCGGGACAACCACUGGAAACGGUGGCUAAUACCGGAUGUGCCGAGAGGUAAAAGAGAAAUUGCCUGAAGAUGAGCUCGCGUCUGAUUAGCUAGUUGGUGAGGUAAAGGCUCACCAAGGCAGCGAUCAGUAGCUGGUCUGAGAGGAUGACCAGCCACACUGGGACUGAGACACGGCCCAGACUCCUACGGGAGGCAGCAGUGGGGAAUUUUCCGCAAUGGGCGAAAGCCUGACGGAGCAAUACCGCGUGAGGGAAGAAGGCUCUUGGGUUGUAAACCUCUUUUCUUAGGGAAGAACAAAAUGACGGUACCUAAGGAAUCAGCAUCGGCUAACUCCGU